rnacentral:rRNA from 1 species
GACGAACGCUGGCGGCGUGCUUAACACAUGCAAGUCGAACGGGAAGGCCCUGCUUUUGUGGGGUGCUCGAGUGGCGAACGGGUGAGUAACACGUGAGUAACCUGCCCUUGACUUUGGGAUAACUUCAGGAAACUGGGGCUAAUACCGGAUAGGAGCUCCUGCUGCAUGGUGGGGGUUGGAAAGUUUCGGCGGUUGGGGAUGGACUCGCGGCUUAUCAGCUUGUUAGUGGGGUAGUGGCUUACCAAGGCUUUGACGGGUAGCCGGCCUGAGAGGGUGACCGGCCACAUUGGGACUGAGAUACGGCCCAGACUCCUACGGGAGGCAGCAGUGGGGAAUAUUGCACAAUGGGCGGAAGCCUGAUGCAGCAACGCCGCGGGCGGGAUGACGGCCUUCGGGUUGUAAACCGCUUUCGCCUGUGACGAAGCGUGAGUGACGGUAAUGGGUAAAGAAGCACCGGCUAACUACGUG